rnacentral:rRNA from 1 species
UACAGAGGUCUCAAGCGUUGUUCGGAUUCAUUGGGCGUAAAGGGUGCGUAGGCGGCGUAACAAGUCACUUGUGAAAUCUCCGGGCUUAACCCGGAGCGGCCAAGUGAUACUGUUGUGCUAGAGUGCGGAAGGGGCUACUGGAAUUCUCGGUGUAGCGGUGAAAUGCGUAGAUAUCGAGAGGAACACCUGCGGCGAAGGCGGGUAGCUGGGCCGACACUGACGCUGAGGCGCGAAAGCCAGGGGAGCGAACGGG